rnacentral:rRNA from 1 species
UACGUAGGGUGCGAGCGUUUGUCCGGAAUUUAUUGGGCGUAAAGAGCUUGUAGGCGGUUUGUCGCGUCUGCUGUGAAAAUCCGGGGCUCAACCCCGGACUUGCAGUGGGUACGGGCAGACUAGAGUGUGGUAGGGGAGACUGGAAUUCCUGGUGUAGCGGUGAAAUGCGUAGAGAUCAUGAGGAAGACCAGUGGCGAAGGCGGGGUCUCUGGACAGUUCCUGACAUGAGACACGAAGGCCAGGGGAGCAAACGGGG